GGUGGCUCAGUGGUAGAGCGCUUGCCUCGCAUGCACGAGGCCCUGGGUUCGGUUCCUCAGCACCA
rnacentral:tRNA from 1 species